AAUUGAGAAGCAUGCUAAUCACGUUUUCACAUGUUACUCAAAGUUUAAACAAUUCAAAUCAGCCCUCUCUUCCCUCCACUGAUCUCAACCUUCCUUCGCCGCUCCAGAGGUCGCCUCUGGCGGCGGAGGAGACCUAAUGUCUAACCAACCUACAUCAGUGUCUUCAUCCACUUCCCCUAAACACGAAUAUCACCAUGGAACAUCAUACUUCUUCCUAAAUUCUUCCAAUCGUGACCAAUCGUUGAAGAACCCUAUACUUUAGAUUUAAAAUUAAAUUCCUAACUCACAGAAUCAAAGCCCUAAAGGUUAGGGCUUUGAUUCCCCUAAUCCUCCUUUACACCAUGGUAACCAGCAUGAGGUGAAUCGAUGAAGAAAAAUGAGAGCACUCACCGAAGCAGACGCCGAAGUUCAGGACUUGGUGUUGAGGUAUCUGGUAUGACAUGGCUUGAAUAAUUUGUAGAAUUUGAUGUACCUUGAUAGGUUUGUUGGAUGUUUGUAAUGGUCUGCAGGAUUUUGUUAAAUUGCCAUGACUGUUUUGCUGUAGGAUUGUUGUUGCAUUGGUUUGUUCUUAGUCAUGACUUGUCAUUAUAUGAAUGUUUGGGUUAGUGUAGGACUUUUCACCAUUAAACUGUGGAUGUGUAUUCAAGAAAAGUCCCUUAAAAGAAGAAGUGUUGAAGUCA